AGAGAGAGAGAGAGAGAGAGAGAGAGAGGCGAUGAGGCCUGGGACACGGAGAAAGAAACAGAGAAAAAGGAGGAAGGAAGAUGAAGCGGCCUUCAGCAUAAGCACGAAAAAAGCCUUUCCCAGGAACUCUCGAUAUCAGACCAUUCUUUCUCGAGGUAGAGAGGAACAGAGACAGAGUUCGUAAGAGGGAGAACCGUCAGACUCCUGUGACCCCACGAAAUCCUGCGACGCUUGAAGAGAAAGAACAGAAGCCUGCCGCCACCAGUCAGCCAGCGAAACCACUACCGGUAAAACGGUAAAACUGAUUUCUUUCGUUUUCCCUUUCAGUUGUAGUGCUUUGGAUUUUAUUUCUUAAUCUUCUUCUCCUUCUGAGGGAAAAUUUGUUUGUUAAAAAAAAAAAAACUCUGCCAUUUUUUUUCUACCGUUUGGAGGAGAAUG